AGCAGCCGCGGUAAUUCCAGCUCCAAUAGCGUAUAUUAAAGUUGCUGCAGUUAAAAAGCUCGUAGUUGAAUUUCGGGAUCAAAUUGUCGGUCGUGCUUCGGUACGCACUGGCACUAUUGGUUUCUACCUUCUGAAGAACCGCGAUGUCAUUAAUUUGGUGUCGUGGGGAAUCAGGACUGUUACUUUGAAAAAAUUAGAGUGUUUAAAGCAGGCGCACGCUUGAAUACAUUAGCAUGGAAUAAUGAAAUAGGACGUUUGAUUCUAUUUUGUUGGUUUCUAGGAUCGACGUAAUGAUUAAUAGGGAUAGUUGGGGGCAUUAGUAUUCAAUUGUCAGAGGUGAAAUUCUUGGAUUUAUUGAAGACUAACUACUGCGAAAGCAUUUGCCAAGGAUGUUUUCAUUAAUCAAGAACGAAAGUUAGGGGAUCGAAGACGAUCAGAUACCGUCGUAGUCUUAACCAUAAACUAUGCCGACUAGGGAUCGGAUGAUGUUAAUUUUUAAUGACUCA
rnacentral:rRNA from 1 species